CACUUGCAGCGCCUCUAGUGCAACAUCUGGAGCACGAGUCCUCUGCAAGCAGUCCUCCCAACAGAUUGGCUGGAGGAUGGUAGUAUUUCCGUUUCUCAGUCCCUGUCUGAAGGAAGAUCCCAUUCAGCGGGCUGAUGGCGCGGGACAUAUCAACUCUCUAAACUGAGAGAUUACAAAACAAUCUCUAGAAAAACUCUUAAGAUAACAGUCUCCCAAUAUCCUUUUUAUGAACUACAUAGCACUUUCUCCGCUGUUCCCGCCUUGCAGAUGGGUGUUUUAAAAAGUGCCAAGGGCCACAAAAGGAAACUCCCACUGACUCUACAGCUUUUUGAAACCCAGUUCCUCCUUAAAACAGAAAAUCAGGUGUGAGGGUCCCCAACUGUGCCCCAGGCCUUGCUUCCUACCCCUACCAGCAGCCCACCACCUGAAGAGGACUGGCUGUCCAAGGCAGGGCAAAUCGUUAGGCACCCCAGGAGGAUGGCAAGGUUCAGCGCUUUAGCCAGCGGCGGGGGAGGAAAGAGGCUAAAUGGGGAAGUUGUAAAAGCGGCUUCGUUCGACGGUGGAUCUCUGAACCUUAAAAGAUUGGCGGGGACCCACUCACACUCCCUGGGGACCAUUACUAAGAGGUCUGCUGUGCCGACCCGAGGGGGCGCCAACUGCCCGCGCGGAACCGGGCCGUGGGCCUGGGGUUCGGGAAGCGUGCGCCACCCCCGGUCGGGCCUGGCUUCCUUCUUGAAUGCCCCCGGCGCAGGCCCGGUGCUUUGUCCCUCCGGCCUUCUCAAGGAGUGGUGGCCUUCUGCGGGGGCGAGAGCACGGCCUCUAGCCUUCCGCCGACGUCUCAGUGCGCAGAUACCGCGGCCCGGGCCCCUCCGCCGCGCGGGGGACCGCACUAGCGUCGACCUCCCGGCAGCCAACCCCGCGCGCAAGGCUCCGCGGCCGGAUAUGGGCCUAGCUUCCGGGAUCCGCUCCCUGCGGGGCCGCGCUUAGGGUCGGAGUUCGCUAGUCCAGGGAAAGGGGUGGGAGGGGCCCUCGGAGGGGCCCCUACAAGGGAUCCCAGUCCGCAGAAUUAAAAAUUCGUUCGCAAGGGAGCGCCCUUCCGGGGUCAGGGUCGUGAAGAGACACUCGAGAAUUAGGGUCCUGGACUGCAGUGGGGCCGGGCCUGGACUUCGGGCAGGUGUUUCCUGGCCGCCCUGGGGCCCUGCAGCACCGAGGGCCGCGCUGAUCUCAGGGCUCAGGCGGACGAGGGGCCGCCACAGGCACCUUAGGACCCUGGCGGCCUGAAGGCCUGGGGCCUUCAGGAAAGCCUCGGGCACUCCCAGCGGGGGACCUAGCGCCAGGUCACGAUUCCAUUCGGGGCGGGGAGCUUCUAAGCAGGAGUUGCUGACCAAGGAAAGAGUCUGGACCCGGGACCUCAUCCCUGAGGACCAGACCACGACCUUGGAGCUCAGCUCUCAGUCCUUCCCGGCUAGGGAUGCGGAGGGGUCGGGAGCUCGACGGCUAAGCGGCAGGGAAUCCUGAGUUCCUAGAGAUCUACAGAAAGCAGAAGAACGACACUAGAUGAGACUAGACAGUGACGGCGGAAGGACGGAACCACAUGGAGACUGACACACUUUGCGAGUUGGGACUCAAUUGCAUUUCUUUAAGUCCUUGAUUCCGAAGUUUCCCCGCCCUCCUAUGCAAGAGCGUUUGGGGAAACUAAGUUCCUUAGACUCUUUCAUCCUUGUUAUGUGAGCUCAGGGAGGAAGGCAGACAAUAGCUGCAGCCUAAACACCUGCUAUCUCUCAAUGCAAUAAGAUAUAGACGGUGAUUGGAGUCGUUUCUCUUUUUGCUUCCAGAGGGAGCUCAAACCUGAAGCAUCAAGGUUAUCUUUUUCCAAAGGAUUUGUGUGAACCUAAGUUCGGUACCUGCGACGAGUAAAAACACUUAUUUGACCCUCUAGAGACUCAGCUAGAACUGACUGAGCAAAGGGAAAUCGGGCAAAAGAAAGGGAAGGUACUGAGGAGAAAACGGCAGAUGUUGUUAUCUCCCGCUGAGAGGCGCGGCCGGCGGGGCCGGAUCCUCCGCUUCCCGCGACUGCCGGAGUCGCGCUGGACUAGGCUGACCGCGCAGGGCGGCGAGGCUGGAAGGGAGGUCUCCGCCCGACAAUGCGCAGGUGCCAGAGGAGCCAGGAGGAGUGAGAAGCGCCCUAGACCCGCGGCCUCAAGCGCCAUGCACGUCAAGGGGAAGUGACUCCGGAGUUGUGCCAGGAAGAACACCAAGAACGAGCUGUGCGUUUUUGCGCAGAGAAGUAGUCUUCGCAAGACCGCAGCUCCCUGCCGAAGGCCCAGAAAGGGAGUGCGGGGGAGAGGGCAAACUAUCACUCCCGAGGACUUGGGGCACGACUAUCACACGCAACUGGGAGAUCCUGGAAGACGGAGGAAAAACGAACAAGGGGACAUGGCCCUCACUGCAGUGACAGGGCUUUCCUUCAGUCAGUGGCCACAAUAAAUUUAACCAAGGCUAAAGGAGAUUAAUUUCCCAGCAUAAUCCAAUUAAAAGAUUUCUAAAGUAAUCUUUUGCGAAAAUGAAAAGUGCGCGACUAAAGAGGGGACUGGUUUUGAUGACAGUGAUUUAUCGCCUCAGCACAGCACGCACGGGACGCUGUCUCUCCAAGCGAUUUGACCAGAGCAUCCCGUCCUCGCCUCCUGUCCAAACCUUCCUCUUCCUGAAAGACAGCCAUCUAUCACGCCAACCUGGGCAGGAGAGAAUGUGCAAGGGGCUGGGGCGGCUUACAAGCACCACAGACCUUUUUAAGUGCUAUUAGAUUUAUGGUCUCUUUUUCGACACCCAUCCAGAGUAAUUAGCACAUAUGUUCUAAAUAGAUGAUAGUUUUGUGAGCAAUAAAGCAAUUACCCAUCGUUGGAGCUGACAGUUCCUCCAACUAAACUCCAACCAGCAGCUAAUUGGAAAAGUCAUUUCAGCUCCAUUGUCUGCAAUUAGUCCUGCUAAACUACUACACCCCAACUAGCUGGUUUGAGUUUAAUUUAUUCAAUGUUGUGUUUGCAUGGACAAGCCUUUGCCACGAAGGGACUUGCCUUUUGCCCCUCUAGACUGCGCCCAGG
rnacentral:lncRNA from 1 species